ACCUAGUGAUCAAAGGGUUUCAAAAUUAGUAAUUUUAAUGGUUGAUAUGAGAGGUUUUCUUGUUUAACGGUGUAAAGCUAUUCAAAUCAAUUGAAUUUUGAUUAGAAAAUUCUUUAAACUAUUUAGAACAAGAUCUAUACUCUCGAUCAUGAUUACAAAAUUUCUAUCAUCACUUUUUAGAGGAUAUUCAUUUUCAGCCAUUCAUUUUUACGCUCACUUGAUGGACAAGAAAACAAUAUCGGAAAAGUAUGAAAUUUGAUUUCUAGAUACUUCAAGUGGUAUAGAUCAUUUUCAACGGUGCCGAUCGUCGAUUUGGAGGCUCCAUCAUCGAAAAAAAAUGGGUGGCAACGGAGCCCGUUUGCUACUGAUAGCAUUCCAGCUCAACUCUAUAUAUA
rnacentral:lncRNA from 1 species